GUUGGGUUAACUGAGUUUUGUGGGUUUCUUCUUUCUUUUUCCUUUGUCGUCGUUGGCGAGCAUAUAUUCACUCUUUUUUCUUCCAUUUUGAACGGUAGUAGUGUUAGGUUCAUUGAUGGGUUUCCUUUUUUGGCCAUUUUUUAUUUUUUUUUUCUUGCUGGGUUGCUGUUAUUGCUAAAUUUCUUGGCGUGUUUGUUGCUGGAUUGUUGUGUUGUACGGGUUGCAGGAAGAAAAAACUUGGGCCACUUCAAAUUUAAUUAGUGGAUUUUUUUUAAUCUUGCUUGGAUUGAUAUUUUGUUUGCGGUUUUGUUUGGGAUUUAGGUUUUUGUCGAGAUUUUGCUUGGGAUUUGAAUUUUGUUCUUGAUUUUGCAUCAAGUUGGGGUUUUUAUUUUGAUUUUGAUUGCUCAUUGUGCAGUGGAUUGAGUUAGCACGGCAACCAAAGUUUGCUCCAUUAGGUGAUCGGCUUGGCCUUAAGUCCAAGUAUGGGGGUGUAACUUGAUUACAAGAUAACGUCGCGUCAGCUAUAAUUUCAAACAUUUCAUCUCAAUGAGUAUAAUAGUUUUAUUACUUUUGUUUGUAUAUAACUAUAUAAAAUAGUUAACCAAAUUGUAAAUAUAUGACAUAAGUUAAUAUUUAAUUUAUUUGAAAUAUUAUUUUGUUA